rnacentral:sRNA from 1 species
GCUGGGUGUGGUGGUGCUCACCUGUAAUCCCAGUGACUGGGGAGGCUGAGGCAGAGGAUUAUAAGCUUGAAGCCAGCUUCAGCAAUUUAGCGAGAUUCUGUCUCAA